CGCGCGUCAGGCGCGGAGGGCCCCGGCGUCGGGGGCUUGGCUGGGCGGUGCUUCCCGCUAGGCCCAAGCGCGCGCGAGGGCCGGGCUCGAGCACGUCGCCUCAGGGCGGGGCGGGGCGUGCUGACGCACCAACGGUUUUCUGCUCCCCCAGGGCGGCGCCCCGCCCCGCUCCGCUCCGCUCCGCUCCGUUCCGCUCCGUUCCGCUCCUUUCCGCCGGCGUUUCGUGGUGCCGCGGCUGCUCCUCACUGGUGUGUCGUCAGUGGGUGCCAGCACGUCUCGCUUUCUAUGCUUUCUUGGAUAAUUCUUAGAGUCAGUGUAACAGUUUUCCUUGAUAGCAACUGGAUCAUGCAACUACUCCCUACUGAGCAAGUUCACUUCUGCAGCUAGCCUGAAAAGGUCUGAUGUGCUGAUUACUGAAGAAGUCAAGAACUUUCUAUUGCUGUUCAACAAAUUGUCCAUUGAAUAGUUAUGCUCGGAUCUGUCAACUCUUAAGCAGUAUACUUAUCUAGACUAGUAGGCUGUACUUCAGAUUUCUGAAAGAAUCUGUAUCCUUUUUCAAGUGCAAUUGGCCAGAAUGACUGUAGCAUCCAAAUGAGCAACAGAAGUAGAAGAUAGCUAUUCGUCUUGUCCUGAUAAUCAGAAACAGCAGGGCGUCUCACACUCUUGUUCUGUGAACUGUUUUAAUGAAGUGGAAUAGAUACAGCAGACACCACUUAUAUUGUUGGUUUUGAUGGCUAAAUAAAAAUAGCUCAAGU
rnacentral:lncRNA from 1 species